ensembl:snRNA U6 U6 spliceosomal RNA
UUAGUCACUUCGGCAACACACAAACCAAAAUUGGAACAAUCUAGAGAAGAUUAGCAUGGCCCCUGUGGAAGGAUGAGACACAGAUUCAUGAAGUGGUCCAUAUGUCU